GAUGAAGAACGUAGCGAAAUGCGAUAAGUAAUGUGAAUUGCAGAAUUCAGUGAAUCAUCGAAUCUUUGAACGCACAUUGCGCCCCUUGGUAUUCCGAGGGGCAUGCCUGUUCGAGCGUCAUUAUAACCCCUCAAGCUCAGCUUGGUGUUGGGGCCUGCCGCACGGGCAGCCCUUAAAAUCAGUGGCGGUGCCAUCUGGCUCUAAGCGUAGUAAUUCUUCUCGCUAUAGAGUCCCGGUGGAUGCUUGCCAUUAACCCCCACUUUUCUAUGGUUGACCUCGGAUCAGGUAGGGAUACCCGCUGAACUUAAGCAUAUCAAUAAGCGGAGGA
rnacentral:misc_RNA from 1 species